rnacentral:rRNA from 1 species
UACGUAGGGUGCAAGCGUUAAUCGGAAUUACUGGGCGUAAAGCGUGCGCAGGCGGUUUGUUAAGUCAGAUGUGAAAUCCCCGGGCUCAACCUGGGAAUGGCAUUUGAGACUGGCAGGCUAGAGUGUGUCAGAGGGGGGUAGAAUUCCACGUGUAGCAGUGAAAUGCGUAGAGAUGUGGAGGAACACCGAUGGCGAAGGCAGCCCACUGGGAUAACACUGACGCUCAUGCACGAAAGCGUGGGGAGCAAACAGG